UGGGUAACCUGCCUCAAAGAGGGGAAUAGCCUCCCGAAAGGGAGAUUAAUACCGCAUAAUAUGUUUAGGUCGCAUGACUUUAACAUCAAAGGAUUUUCUUUUAAGAAAUUCCACUUUGAGAUGGACCCGCGGCGCAUUAGCUAGUUGGUGAGGUAACGGCUCACCAAGGCAACGAUGCGUAGCCGACCUGAGAGGGUGAUCGGCCACAUUGGAACUGAGACACGGUCCAGCUCCGUAGGGAG
rnacentral:rRNA from 1 species